AAACCAAACAGCCUUUUGGCUUAGAUCAAGUGUAGUAUCUGUUCUUUUCAGUUUAAUAUCUGAAACGGUUCUAUUUGAACCUUCUUAUAUUAAUCUUAUUUUUGAACCUAGGGAAUUGGCCUCUGAGCAUGCUCAUGUCGAUACCCACUGUGUCACUGGUAUUGUACUGCCUCCAGUUGACGCGACCUUUU
rnacentral:snRNA from 1 species